CCUACGGGAGGCAGCAGUGAGGAAUAUUGGUCAAUGGGCGAGAGCCUGAACCAGCCAAGUCGCGUGAGGGAGUACUGCCCUAUGGGUUGUAAACCUCUUUUGUCGGGGAGCAAAAGCCGGACGUGUCCGGCUGUGAGAGUACCCGAAGAAAAAGCAUCGGCUAACUCCGUGCCAGCAGCCGCGGUAAUACGGAGGAUGCGAGCGUUUUCCGGAUUUAUUGGGUUUAAAGGGUGCGCAGGCGGAUUUUUAAGUCAGCGGUAAAAUCGUGGGGCUCAACCCCAUCCAGCCGUUGAAACUGGGGAUCUAGAGUGUGCGAGAGGUAUGCGGAAUGCGUGGUGUAGCGGUGAAAUGCAUAGAUAUCACGCAGAACCCCGAUUGCGAAGGCAGCAUACCGGUGCACAACUGACGCUCAGGCACGAAAGCGUGGGUAUCGAACAGGAUUAGAUACCCUUGUAGUC
rnacentral:rRNA from 1 species